AAUCAAGAAAUGAAUUUUUUUUAUAUAUGGUUUCGACCCAUAACUAGGUAUAUUAUUACCCUUGUUUC
rnacentral:tRNA from 1 species